AACCUGCGGAGGGAUCAUUACUGAGUUAGGGAGCAAUCCCGAACCUCCAACCCUUUGUGAACACAUCUUGUUGCUUCGGGGGCGACCCUGCCGUUUCGACGGCAUUCCCCCCGGAGGUCAUCAAAACACUGCAUUCUUACGUCGGAGUAUAAAGUUAAUUUAAUAAAACUUUCAACAACGGAUCUCUUGGUUCUGGCAUCGAUGAAGAACGCAGCGAAAUGCGAUAAGUAAUGUGAAUUGCAGAAUUCAGUGAAUCAUCGAAUCUUUGAACGCACAUUGCGCCCCCUGGUAUUCCGGGGGGCAUGCCUGUUCGAGCGUCAUUUCACCACUCAAGCCUCGCUUGGUAUUGGGCGCCGCGAGUCUCUCGCGCGCCUCAAAGUCUCCGGCUAGGCGGUUCGUCUCCCAGCGUUGUGGCAACUAUUCGCAGAGGAGUUCGAGUCGUCGAGGCCGUUAAAUCUUUCAAAGGUUGACCUCGGAUCA
rnacentral:rRNA from 1 species